rnacentral:rRNA from 1 species
GACGUAGGGCGCGAGCGUUGUCCGGAUUUAUUGGGCGUAAAGAGCUCGUAGGCGGCUUGUUGCGUCGGCUGUGAAAACCCGCGGCUUAACCGUGGGCUUGCAGCCGAUACGGGCAGGCUAGAGUUCGGUAGGGGAGACUGGAAUUCCUGGUGUAGCGGUGAAAUGCGCAGAUAUCAGGAAGAACACCCGUGGCGAAGGCGGUUCUCUGGGCCGAUACUGACGCUGAGGAGCGAAAGCGUGGGGAGCGAACAGG